ACUGGUCACAGCCAGUGCGGGAGUCAGUCCCAGUGGGAACACAGCACAGACCUGAGGGCCCCCGCUCAGCUCCUGGGGCUCCUGCUUCUCUGGCACUCAGGUGCCAGAUGUGACAUUCAGAUGACCCAGUCUCCAUUCUCCCUGUCUACAUUUGUAAGAGGCAGAGUAACCAUCACUUGCCAAGCAAGUCAGAGCAUUGGCAAUGAGUUAUCCUGGUAUCAGCAGAAACCAGAAAAAGCUCCUAAACUCCGGGACUAUGCAGCAUACACUUUGCGAUCUAUGGUCCCAUCGAGAUUCAGUGGCAGUGGGUCUAGGGCAGAUUAUUCUCUCACCAUCAGCAUCCUACAGCCUGAAGAUGUUGCAACUUAUUACUGUCUACAGGAUUACAGUCCUCCUCCCACAGUGCUACAAGUCAUAACAAAAAACAUCCAGGAAAGCUGA